GCAAAACCAGAAGGACGAGAGACAGGAGCCGUAAAUCAAAGGGGGAAGCGAGAGUCGAAACCGGGAGAUCAAACGGCAGGCGAACAAUCAAAAUCGGCAGGCAAAAAAUCAAUAACGAGAAAAAACAAAGCGAGGUCGUAACGUGAAAGGCAAUGAAAGAAAACGCGAGAGAAUCGAGGUAUAAAUACAUACAAUAAUCCAGCGAUCUGAGCAGCGCGUGCUUAAAUCACUGGGAUAAUCAGCGGAGGAGAUGAGAAACAGGAUUUCAAAAGGAAGGUGUUUGCGAUGUUAUUUGACAUAAAAGAGGAACUUCAGCGAGUAGCUGUCAUUGUGGACCCUGAAAAUACAUACUGUAAGAGACUGACCUGAAAUCCUUUGAAGAGUCUAUCAAAGUUGAGAAGAAGAAGUCGAUCUGCGUUCAGCAACUGUCCAGAGUUGAGGGAUCUUCUGUCAGGGACUGUGUUAAUAAAGU